rnacentral:lncRNA from 10 species
AACCAGGAUAAGUUGAUCACCCUCCCUGAGAGUUUGGGAUUCUAUGAGGACUCCUGUCUAGAGUGCAGCGCCACUGCGAGGGUGGUCCUUUAUUGUCAGAAACCUCAUUCCCAGAAGGAGACAUGCAGUGGAAACUGAGCGUCCUCUGCCCUGCGGUGCCCAGCUCCAUUCAAGAAAGCACACCUGUGGAUGAGAGGCGCAAUUAACGUUAUCAGUCGUGAAGGAUCAGAAGGAAAACCCAGUGGCCGUUGGGAAUUUAGAGAUGGUGUUUCGCCAU